GAGAGCUUGUUCUAUUGAUUCAGUGGCAAACGGGUGAGUAACGCGUAAGCACCUGCCCUCUAGAUGGGGACAACAGCUGGAAACGGCUGCUAAUACCGAAUACGGUCGCAUGGCAAAGAGUUUAGCUUUCGCUGGAGGAGGGGCUUGCGUCUGAUUAGCUAGUUGGAGGGGUAACGGCCCACCAAGGCGACGAUCAGUAGCCGGACUGAGAGGUUGAUCGGCCACAUUGGGACUGAGACACGGCCCAGACUCCUACGGGAGGCAGCAGUGGGGAAUAUUGCACAAUGGGGGAAACCCUGAUGCAGCGAUGCCGCGUGGAGGAAGAAGGUUUUCGGAUUGUAAACUCCUGUUGAAGAGGACGAUAAUGACGGUACUCUUUUAGAAAGCUCCGGCUAACUACGUGCCAGCAGCCGCGGUAAUACGUAGGGAGCGAGCGUUGUCCGGAAUUACUGGGUGUAAAGGGAGCGUAGGCGGGAUGGCAAGUCAGAUGUGAAAACUAUGGGCUCAACCCAUAGACUGCAUUUGAAACUGUUGUUCUUGAGUGAGGUAGAGGUAAGCGGAAUUCCUGGUGUAGCGGUGAAAUGCGUAGAGAUCAGGAGGAACAUCGGUGGCGAAGGCGGCUUACUGGGCCUUUACUGACGCUGAGGCUCGAAAGCGUGAGGAGCAAACAGGAUUAGAUACCCUGGUAGUCCACGCCGUANACGAUGAUUACUAG
rnacentral:rRNA from 1 species